rnacentral:rRNA from 1 species
CCUACGGGGUGCUUCAGUGGGGAAUAUUGGACAAUGGGCGAAAGCCUGAUCCAGCCAUGCCGCGUGUGUGAAGAAGGCCUUCGGGCUGUAAAGCACUUUCAGUGGGGAAGAAAGCCUUGGGGCUAAUACCCUCGAGGAAGGACAUCACCCACAGAAGAAGCACCGGCUAACUCCGUGCCAGCAGCCGCGGUAAUACGGAGGGUGCGAGCGUUAAUCGGAAUUACUGGGCGUAAAGCGCGCGUAGGCGGUCUGAUAAGCCGGUUGUGAAAGCCCCGGGCUCAACCUGGGAACGGCAUCCGGAACUGUCAGGCUAGAGUGCAGGAGAGGAAGGUAGAAUUCCCGGUGUAGCGGUGAAAUGCGUAGAGAUCGGGAGGAAUACCAGUGGCGAAGGCGGCCUUCUGGACUGACACUGACGCUGAGGUGCGAAAGCGUGGGUAGCAAACAGGAUUAGAUACCCCAGUAGUC